UACGGAGUGUGCUAGCGUUACUCGGAAUCACUGGGCAUAAAGCGCGCGUAGGCGGAGUCUCAAGUCGGUUGUGAAAUCCCUCAGCUUAACUGAGGAGCUGCAGCCGAUACUGUGACUCUUGAGGACGAAAGGGGAGAGCGGAACUUCUGGUGAAGCGGUGAAAUGCGUAGAUAUCAGAAGGAACGCCGGUGGCGAAAGCGGCUCUCUGGUUCGUAUCUGACGCUGAGGCGCGAAAGCUUGGGUAGCAAACGGG
rnacentral:rRNA from 1 species